AGGGUUUGAUUAUGGCUCAGGAUGAACGCUAGCUACAGGCUUAACACAUGCAAGUCGAGGGGCAGCAUUAACGAAAGCUUGCUUUUGUUAGAUGGCGACCGGCGCACGGGUGAGUAACGCGUAUCCAACCUGCCAUAUACAGAGGGAUAGCCUUGCGAAAGUAAGAUUAAUACCUCAUGGUUUAUGUUUGCCGCAUGGCGGAUAUAAUAAAGAUUUAUCGGUAUAUGAUGGGGAUGCGUCCCAUUAGAUAGUCGGCGGGGUAACGGCCCACCGAGUCGACGAUGGGUAGGGGUUCUGAGAGGAAGGUCCCCCACAUUGGAACUGAGACACGGUCCAA
rnacentral:rRNA from 1 species